rnacentral:rRNA from 1 species
GACGAACGCUGGCGGCGUGCUUAACACAUGCAAGUCGAACGAGUGGCGAACGGGUGAGUAAUACGUGGUAACCUGCCUCAUAGCGGGGGAUAACUAUUGGAAACGAUAGCUAAUACCGCAUACUGUGAGAUGGACCUGCGUUGUAUUAGCUAGUUGGUGAGGUAAAGGCUCACCAAGGCGACGAUACAUAGCCGACCUGAGAGGGUGAGCGGCCACACUGGGACUGAGACACGGCCCAGACUCCUACGGGAGGCAGCAGUGGGGAAUAUUGCACAAUGGGCGCAAGCCUGAUGCAGCCAUGCCGCGUGUGUGAAGAAGGCCUUCGGGUUGUAAAGCACUUUCAGCGGGGAGGCGUUACCCGCAGAAGAAGCACCGGCUAACUCCGUGCCAGCAGCCGCGGUAAUAC